rnacentral:rRNA from 1 species
AUUGAACGCUGGCGGCAGGCCUAACACAUGCAAGUCGAGCGGAUGGAGGGAGCUUGCUCCUGGAUUCAGCGGCGGACGGGUGAGUAAUGCCUAGGAAUCUGCCUGGUAGUGGGGGAUAACAUCCGGAAACGGGCGCUAAUACCGCAUACGUCCUGAGGGAGAAAGUGGGGGAUCUUCGGACCUCACGCUAUCAGAUGAGCCUAGGUCGGAUUAGCUAGUUGGUGGGGUAAAGGCCUACCAAGGCGACGAUCCGUAACUGGUCUGAGAGGAUGAUCAGUCACACUGGAACUGAGACACGGCCCAGACUCCUACGGGAGGCAGCAGUGGGGAAUAUUGGACAAUGGGCGAAAGCCUGAUCCAGCCAUGCCGCGUGUGUGAAGAAGGUCUUCGGAUUGUAAAGCACUUUAAGUUGGGAGGAAGGGCAGUAAGUUAAUACCUUGCUGUUUUGACGUUACCAACAGAAUAAGCACCGGCUAACUUCGUG